rnacentral:rRNA from 1 species
GCGUUGCUCGGAGUGACUGGGCGUAAAGGGCGCGUAGGCGGACGGCUUUGACGGGCGUGAAAUUCCAGGGCUUAACCUUGGGACUGCGUUCGAGACGGGUUGUCUAGAGUUUGGAAGAGGGUCGUGGAAUUCCCAGUGUAGAGGUGAAAUUCGUAGAUAUUGGGAAGAACACCGGUGGCGAAGGCGGCGACCUGGUCCUUGACUGACGCUGAGGCGCGAAAGCGUG